AUUGAACGCUGGCGGCAGGCUUAACACAUGCAAGUCGAGCGGAGAUGAGGUGCUUGCACCUUAUCUUAGCGGCGGACGGGUGAGUAAUGCUUAGGAAUCUGCCUAUUAGUGGGGGACAACAUUCCGAAAGGAAUGCUAAUACCGCAUACGCCCUACGGGGGAAAGCAGGGGAUCUGCGGACCUUGCGCUAAUAGAUGAGCCUAUGUCGGAUUAGAUAGUUGGUGGGGUAAAGGCCUACCAAGGCGACGAUCUGUAGCGGGUCUGAGAGGAUGAUCCGCCACACUGGGACUGAGACACGGCCCAGACUCCUACGGGAGGCAGCAGUGGGGAAUAUUGGACAAUGGGCGGAAGCCUGAUCCAGCCAUGCCGCUUGUGUGAAGAAGGCCUUUUGGUUGUAAAGCACUUUAAGCGAGGAGGAGGCUACCUGGAUUAAUACUCUAGGAUAGUGGACGUUACUCGCAGAAUAAGCACCGGCUAACUCUGUGCCAGCAGCCGCCGUAACAC
rnacentral:rRNA from 1 species